rnacentral:tRNA from 1 species
GCUCUUGUAGCUCAGUUGGUAGAGCGCACCCUUGGUAAGGGUGAGGUCGGCAGUUCAAAUCUGCUCAAGAGCU